rnacentral:rRNA from 1 species
AGUGAACGCUGGCGGCAGGCCUAACACAUGCAAGUCGAGCGGCAGCGCGUCCGACCACCCUCGGGUGGUCGGAUGGCGGCGAGCGGCGGACGGGUGAGGAAUGCAUCGGAAUCUGCCUCGUUGUGGGGGAUAACGUAGGGAAACUUACGCUAAUACCGCAUACGACCUACGGGUGAAAGUGGGGGACCUUGGGCCUCACGCGAUGAGAUGAGCCGAUGCCGGAUUAGCUAGUUGGCGGGGUAAAGGCCCACCAAGGCGACGAUCCGUAGCUGGUCUGAGAGGAUGAUCAGCCACACUGGAACUGAGACACGGUCCAGACUCCUACGGGAGGCAGCAGUGGGGAAUAUUGGACAAUGGGGGGCAACCCUGAUCCAGCCAUGCCGCGUGUGU